GCCCAGGUGGUGAAAUUGGUAGACACGCCAGGUAGACACGCCAGCUUCAGGUGCUGGUGAUCGCAAGGUCGUGGAAGUUCGAGUCUUCUCCUGGGCA
rnacentral:tRNA from 1 species